ACUCGCCCUCUGGUCUUCACCCGGCCACCCCUUCAGGGAGACACAGAGGUUCUGCACAUGAAUGGUCUGGAGGCUCCUGGAUGCUGACCCAAGCUCCCCGGCUUUGCACACUGGACAGAAGGCUUCUGCCCCUUGAGGCAGGGGUUUCCAUCCCUAGCUGUGCAGAUUACCGCGAGGGGCUGGAUUUUAUCCUGCUUCUUCACCUGCCAAACAGGCUUCGUGUGCCACGAGGUUGUGAAAUUAAACGAGUUAACAUGUGAAGCUCCCAGCCCGGCACCUGGUACCGCUGUGAGGCUCAGAAAGUGCUAGAUGUUGUUAGGAUGCUGCUCUGCAGCUGGCACAGAGCUGGGAGCAGGCUGAGCCCCUAAUCGACUCACGGAGGACUGGGGAAAGAAGAGACAGAAGAGUGAAUGAAACCCACUGAUGUUCGCUCGCUGCGCAGCUUUCACUGCGUACCUGCCGGGUGUCAGCGGCUUCGCAGCCCUGGGAAUAGCGCCUCGCGUGGAACAAGUCCCCGGUGGGGCUGAGCGUCCAGCAGGGAGACAGGUGGUAAAUAAACACACACAUCCAUGUGUAUGCCAGCUGUGAUGCCAAGCUCUGGAGGAGGACAGCAGAGUAGGUGGAUGGGGCCCCACGGGAGGGCAGGAGCGAGGGCAGAGGCCAGCUAUGAAUCAUGCGGAUCCAUGUGACUGGGAAGGGGCUGUGGAAGCAGCACAUGCAAAGGCCCUGGGGCACAUCUGAGGGCCAGGGAGGAGGCCUGUGUGGCUGGGCGAGUGGGAGGGCACGGGACUGGGAGAUACUCCGGCUGGGGGUGUGGGACAGAUCGGCCCAGGCCUGGAGGCCAGAGUGAGGACUCUGGCUUUGCCCCAGUGAUGGGGGGGCCAUGGAAGGUCCUGAGCAAGGGGGGCCAGGACGUUACCUCCUUAGCAGAUCCACACUUGUCUCAUGGAGCAAGCUGCCCUCUGCCCACCCGCUGCUGCCGGAGCCCCUCAGGCUAUAUGCAGUGUCCUGGGUGCUUCCUGGGGGGACUGUUUCUCGGCAGCAGUUUGGCCCUGUCCCCUGGGGAGUUCCCUGUGCUCUGGGUGUGCUGGACACACACCUGUGACACCACAAGACGGUGUCUGGCUUGGCGGCACAUCCCUUGGGGGAUGCUGUGUCUCUGCCUUGUGUCUCCGUGUGUUCAGCUCUGCGUGUUUCAUGGGGUGUGCGUAUUGCAGGAACAUAGGUGACCACGAGUGUCUGCUGCUCCCACGUGUGUUUUCAGAAGUUACGCAGUGAGUGGGGGGUGUGUGUACUUGGAUCCUGUGGUGCAUCCUGCGUGUGCGUGGGCUUCGAGCUGCGGGUGUGUUACGUCCAUACACAGAGACAGCAUGUGCUGAGCCAUUCCCAUUGCAAGGUCAUAGGUUGGGGGUAGCUGGGGUGGACAGCCACACGGCUCCAUUUCCCAGGUGAGCAAACGGAGGCUCCAAGGUCACUCAACAAUGAGAGGGGCAGUCAGGAUUCAAACCAGGGUCUGUGGGACAUACGGCAGCCCAUGUUCUGUCCCGCCCUCCCUGGUCUCUUCUUCAAGCGCUUCUCACUAGAAAACCAAAGAUGAGAAAUCUUUGAGCCGCCGGAAGUGGGCUAAAGCCAGAGUUAAGUCAGCACACUUAAUGGUGUCUGCACAUGCCUCCAGUCAAGGGGAUAUCUUUC
ensembl:lncRNA